AAUGAUAACAUGAACGCGUUGGAUCCCUUGGCAUGCCAUUCGAUGAAGAACGUAGCAAGCUGCGAUAUGUGAUGUGAAUUGCAAAUCCAAAGCGAUCUCGUGAAUCAUUGAAUCUUUGAACGCACUGCACCGCCCUUUAUGGGAGUGGUACGCCCGAAU
rnacentral:rRNA from 1 species